rnacentral:rRNA from 1 species
UACGUAGGGGGCAAGCGUUAUCCGGAAUUACUGGGUGUAAAGGGAGCGUAGACGGUAAUGUAAGUCUGGAGUGAAAGGCGGGGGCCCAACCCCCGGACUGCCUUGGAAACUGUGCUGCUGGAGUGCAGGAGAGGCAAGUGGAAUUCCUAGUGUAGCGGUGAAAUGCGUAGAUAUUAGGAGGAACACCAGUGGCGAAGGCGGCUUGCUGGACUGUAACUGACGUUGAGGCUCGAAAGCGUGGGGAGCAAACAGG